AAAUGCCUUCCUUGUUUGUUGACAGAUUCUGCACAGCACUGGACUGGAGUUUCAGAACCAAGUACAGGAAGCAAAAGACCUGGACCAGCUGAUCAAGAUCCACUACAGAUACCUGGCAACUAUCCAUGACCGCUGUCUGUUAAGAGAAAAGGUCAGCUUUGUCAAAGAGGCGAUAAUGAAGGUUCUCAAUCUGGUGCUCAUCUUCUCAGACCGAUGGAGAGCUGGAUUUGGAGCUUGGAAGAUCGAGUCUAUUGAUAAGAUGGAGUUGGAUUUCAAAAACUGCCACAUGUUCCUGGUGACGAUACUUAAUAAGGCUGUUCGUCGGGGCUCAUUUCCUCAUCUGGAGUCUCUGGCCCUGUCUCUGAAGGCCGGAUAUGAGCAGUGCUGAUAAUUCGUUUCAUUCUUCCAUCACUUUGACUGUUUUCACUACAGUAAGCAGUGACAUGGAGGCUGCCAUCUUCUCUUUGUGGAUCAGUAACUUAUAUCAAGUUUUGGCAGCCAAAACAUGAACAGCUGUAUUUAUUUCAUGAGAUGCGUGGUUUUUUUUUGGUUUUUUUUAUAAAAGCAAAUAGUCAUGUUGAUUGUAAAUAAUGUUAUUGUACUGUACAUAUCUGUAAGCACAAAUAAAAUGUCAGUGAUGUUUGAUUACUAAAAAUUUCACAAAAGUACAACGGAGAAG